CUCUCAGUAAUGGGGCAAAUAUUCGCUUUUGGGAAGAUAUCUGGGUUGGGGACUUGCCCCUUAAAACAAGAUUCCCGAACAUUUUCCUCAUCACCCCUAGAAAGGAUAUUCUCGUGGCGGAUUGUUAUUCCGUGACCGACGGCAAGAUAGUGUGGAAUGUGACUUGUAGAAGAAAUUUGCAAGACUGGGAGAUUAGCGAAUUUGUUGACCUCUUGUAUAGCAUUUAUGCUACUUUUCCUAUCCUUUCCUCCGUAGACAGCAUUAUAUGGAGAUCAGAUAAAUCCUCCAGAUUUUCCGUCCAAUCUCCUUACAAUCAGUUUCGCGUUCAGCUGCCUCAUCCUGAUCUUAGCCAACCCUCUUUCUUCUGGAAAUAUGUAGCUCCCCCUAAGAUCGUGGCUUUUGCCUGGUUAAAGAAACAGUCAACCACAUUUUAGUGCAUUGCCCUUUCAUUUCCUCUAUAUGGUCAGAAAUAUUGCUUCGGUUCUAUAUCAAUUGG